GAUUAAGUACCUACUGUAUGCCAGGGACUCUUAAAUGCUUUACAAAUAUUGUCUCACAAAUCCCUGAGAAGUAGGUGCUAUUAUCUCCAUUUUACAGUAGGGGAAACUGAGGCAGACCAGAUCAGAUGUAGCUAGAAAAUAUCUGAGGUUGAUUUGAACUCAGAUUUGCCCUAACCACUGAGUAACCUAGCAGGCUCCAGAGAGAUUGUAAGUAGAAUGAUUCUUCCAUUUAAGUGCUUACCUUGAGAGGUAGGGCAUUCAAACAGCUCUCUGGGAGCUUACAUCUGCUUGGAUUUGGUUUCUCAGCUUUGCUCAUUGCUUGUCCCUGAUUCAGCCAGGACCUGGCCCCCUCAAUCAACAGGUAACCCGUUUCUAGCUUCCUCUUCAAUCAGAACCCAUUUUCCCCUGGCUGCUAAGCUCUCGUGAUCCAAUCCUGCCCUGGGACAAAUAGCUCCCGAGCUGAGUCUGUGGGGAGUGAGGGGAGCUCCUUUGCAUCCGUUCGUUCCAGGUCCCCCCGUCAGCUUGCUGAGGCCAUGGCCCCUGCCCUGCCGCUGACAUUUCCCCCCCAUCUUUAUUUGCUGGGGUCCUUUUCUAAGAGAGGAGCCGGCCAUCUCCCCUCGUCCAUCUUGUGUGUUUUUGUGAAAAGUAAAGGAAUGACGACGAACUCUUCCCCAGCAAUCCUGCUUGUGGAAAAGAAUAUAACCAUUUACAUGUCUUCCUCCCAUCAAAGGAACCCAGCCACCUUUGCCCCUGGAGUGGAGGCGGAUUGUCAGCUGGUUGGCACUGAGUGGGAAAAGAGGGAGGCUUAAUGGAGAAGCCAUUAAUAAUUUACUCUAAUAGUGUAAUAGUCGCUGCUUUUGUACCCCAAAAUUCGUCCAACCGGAGGCUUACGGAUGCAAAGUGAGAUCAAUUAUAUUGAGUGAUGACAGGCUCCCUGUUGAGAGAAAAGGGGAAAUGGUGUCGUCACCUGCCUCGUGACUAAGAAAUUGCUUUUCUUAAUUGUACAGAACAGAGAAACUCCUGGGGAUGUAAUUCCUUUUUCUGAAGCUUGCAGGGGAAAAUCGAAGUUAAAGAUAAAACCAAGUUAAAGAAAGGUUCAAACGGCGGCUGUGGAACUGGACGGCGUCUCCCGGCACGGACAGGUACCGAGAUGUCGGUUCUGUGGGUUCAGCUGACCUCUGGCCCCGGCGGAGAUCAGACCGAUGCUGGAGCUGCUCUGCUGAUGUGGGCAGUGGUCUGGGCCAGGAUGGACGCGGAUUCGUGUCUUCAGAUCAGAUUCGGGGUGAUGGAUUUAGACCAUCCCCGUGUAUUAGCCGCCGAGGCGAGAGAAGGACUUGAGAGGAUGAAUCUCUGGUCUGGAGAUCAGUAUGAUGAGAAAGUUCAAUGGAAGAACUUUCCUGUUUUAGUAAUCAGGAAUUUGUAAAUAUGGGUCUGUAGGGUCCCACUCCCAUUACUUUGCAUUUGCAGGCAAAUAUAUUUAUUAGUAAAAUGUGUAUUUAAUUAGUAAAUGUAUUAGUAAAUAUGCAGAUACACAAAUUACAUAUGCAUAUACAUGUUGACUCCACAAAUAGAAUGUAAAGGCCCAAAGGAGAGGAAGUUAAAUUGUUGCUGUUGUACGGUUCCUUAGAGGCUGAGUCCAGUGUUGUCCCUACACGGGAGGAAACUGAGACAGAGAGUACUUUAUUUAAGUGACUGUUCGGUGUUAAACAGCUGCUGAGUAACAGGUCUGAACUCAGGCUUUGUUGGGUUGGAAGGGCUUUUAUCAGGAUGGAAAGAGUUGGAAGUUUAGGUUUGGGGGACAUAUGUAUAUGUGCAUAUGUGUACGUGUAUAAGAUACACAUUUAUUUAUUUUGUUAAGUAUCUCCCAACCAUAUGUAAAAAUAUGUUAACCUUCAUUUUUUAAAGAGUUUGAGUUUGUUCUCUCUCUCCUCCCUGCCCCUCCCCAUCCCUUGAGAAAGGCAAGUAAUAUAAUAUUGAUUGUACAUGUGAAGUCAUGCAAAUAUUUUUUCCAUAUUUAUCACGUUACAAAACAAAACACAAAACCCCAAGAAAAAUAAAGUUUUAAAAAAAGCUUCAGUCUGCAGUUUUAAGCAGACAUUUUAUUGUUGUUUAGUUAUUUUUCAGUUGUUUGAUCCUUUGCAAUCCAAUUUUGAGGUUUUCUUGCCAAAGAUACUGGAGUGGUUUGCGCUUUCCUUUUUUUGGCUCUUUUUACAGAUGAGGAAACUGAGACAGGAUUAAGUGACUUGCCCAGGAUCACACAGCCAUCUGAGGCUGAAUUUGAACUCUGUGACUCCAGGCCCAGCACUAUCCACUUUGCCAUUUUGCUUCCCUUAAAGAAGUGUAAAGAAUCUAAAAUCAUUUCUGAAAACCUCCCAGAAUUCUAAGAGUCAGAUUUAAAAAAAAAAUAAGAGGUAUUUGGUUAUUAGAAAUCAGAGUGGGUUAAAACCAAGAAAGCUGGGGAAGGGGGUGCACUUGAACUUGAUCUUGUAAGCCUGGCGAAGGAACUGGGUCUGGGUCUGGAAUCAUCAUAAUACUUGAUGUUUUUAUAGUGUCUCAUAGAAUUUUUUUUCACCUCCCAAAUUAUCUCAUUGAUCAAAAGAUAAGGAAACUAAAUAGGAGUGGGCCUCCAUCAGGGAAAUAAGGUUGAAUAGAGAGGGCGGGUCAGAUGAUGGACAUUAGCCAUCUAUUGAAAUCAGUGGCUGCAAGCCCCACCUAAUAAUGGUCCUCUUGGGCACUGGGCCAGCCUCUGAGGCACGGCCGGGUCAGCCUUGGCCCCCAGGGACUCGGAAGGUGUGGAGAGGAAGAAACAGUCUGAAGUUUAUAGUUUUAAAUAAUAGUGUAAUUUGAGGUUGGACUUCCUUCUGCGGAAGGGGUUGGGGCAGGGGAGGAGGGAAGUGUGAAUGGGCAACAUUUUCACAUGGACUCGGGACUUUGAGAACGGGGGCUCCCGUUUCACAGAUGAGGAAAUCGAGAGCCGCAGGGAUGCGGUGGCUGGCUCAGGAGUCACCCUGACAGAAGCAGGACUGGAAUCCGGGGCUCCGGACUCGCCCCGAUAACGGUCUUUCUUAGUUUUUGUGUCACGGAGCUCUUGUACGUCCUACGGACCCAUUCUCGGAAACUGUUUUCAGAUGUGUGAAGUGACACAUAGUUAUUGGUCUCGAUUGUGUCGGCCCGUUGCUACGGCGUAUUUAAAAGAAGCCUCGGGUUUUCAGAGCCGAGGUGAUCCCUCUCCACCGAGCAUUCUCACAGCCCUACCUACGAGGGCCACGUCCGCCAUGGCUGUAAUUGCAAGAACAGACUUGGUUCUGGCCCGCGGAGAUGGUCUCCCCAGGCCGGUACAGGUUGUACUGCCAUCACAAGUAGGAAAUAACACGAAAAUAAUGGCCUGAAAUGCAGCGGAGGAUUUUCUCCUGCCUCUGGGAUUUUUAUCAGUGCCAUCACACCUGGUAAUUUCCAAAGGCAGCGGCAGGAAGCCACGGGGUGCCAUUUCAGAGCCCCCUUCCCCCCUCCGGGCCAUAUUUGCCUUGUCCAUCCCCCCCAAUUUCCUUAAGGUCCAGAGACCCCCUCCGCUACCACCUUGUGAUUCCUUUUCCCCCAACCCCUCUCUUGUAAGAACUCUAGAUUCUUUCUCCCCCAGAAAAAUUGAAGGCAGUGUGGGUCCUCCCCUCCUUCGCUUUUCAGGAUCCAAGCCCAUUCCCUACUGCCUAAUUAACACUCUUCUCUGCCAAGGUCUCCGAAGCCGGGCCCCAUGCGGGCGGUGAUGGUGAGAAAAUCAUGGAGGGGAGAGAAGAAAAAGGAGGGGGUCGUAAAAAGGUUCCUGAGGCUGAUUUCCCUCGAGGAUCCCUUCCCUUGGCCCAAGGGGGAGAGCACGGUCACCCUUUUCUCACCCCCUUCUCUUCCAUGGCCCUCCUUUUCCUUUUGUGAUCUUCUUUCUGUGGCUGUUAGUCCCUCCCCCAUCCCACUCCCCAAUUGUUGUCUUCCUCACUGGCAAAGAACACGCUCCAUAGGAUGGUGGAUUUGGGAGAGGAAAGCACUUGGAGGCAGCAAGUCAAGCUCUGCCUUUUUACAGAUGAGGAAACUUUGCCCAGUUUGAAGGGGAAAAAAAAGGCAUGAGAUAACCUAAGUAUCCAAGGUAGAAUUUGAACUCAGGUCCUUUAUGCUAAAAAGAGAUUUAUUAGGAGAAGAUAGCAUUUCAGAUUUCUUUAGCCAGCUUAAAAAAAAAAAAAAAAGCAUGAGAUAUCCCAAGGAAGAAUCUGAAGUCAGGUCCUUUAUGGCUAAAGGAGAGUUUAUCAGGAUGGGAAAAGAUAGCAUUUCAAAUUUCUUUGGCCAGCUUUAAAAA